GGCAAGGAUGGAAGGAUGAAUAACACAUAGGAGGCUACUGCUGUAUUCCAGGGAAGAAUUUACUUUGGUUUGAUGAUGAGAUCUUCAAAUGGAAAUGAAGAUUGCAAGAGAGAGAUCUCAAAGGGGAAAUGGAAUACACAAAUCUAAAAGCAGCCGCACUCCACCUCAUGUCCAAGUUGAG